rnacentral:tRNA from 1 species
GCCUGAGUAGCUCAGUGGUUGAGCGUCUGCCUUUGGCUCAGGUCGUGAUCCCGGGGUCCUGGGAUCAAGUCCCGCAUCGGGCU